UCAACAUUUGAUAGAAAUAAGCAUUUUGCAACAUUUCAGGGAUCUUUUAUUUCAGCUCAUGAAACACGGGACCAACACUACAAGUUGGGUACGACAGUUGAACAAAGCUUAUGAGACAUUAAGUAAUAUUCCUCAAGAAUCAAUGGGUUCGCUAUAUUAAUGUAAAAUUCCAAACCAUUUCAAGCAGAAUGAUUGAUUAUUUUUUAAAUGUACUGCCUUCAUUUAUGGACUGUGCAGUGUCCAUGGGAGCGGUUUUGGUUGUGAAUGGCACGUUGUUGCGGUAGUAGGAUUUACCAAAUUAUCACUGUACUUGAAUAUUUGUUCCAGGGAUUGUUAACUAUAUUGAAUGUCGGCCUGAUUUUAAACAGAGAUGUCUCCUGAUGAGCUGGUCUACUUGAGAAUUCUAGCUGCUUCCUUCCCCAUCGGGUUCCUAUUCCGGUACCCGAGUCCUCCAGUGAAGCAGGGUGCAGCGUUGCUCCUGGGCCUCUAGAUCACCAUAGCAACCUGUCAGGUCUGUGCCCUCCACUCGCUGGUGACAGUGCUUGGAACAUGGAUCAUCAUCAAGAGCAGCUGGCGGCCACUUUGGCGGUGGUGUCCAGUCCUACUUCAUGUUCCUGCGCUUCCUGGUGGGGCUCAACUUCCUGUCGUUCUUGCUGAUUGCUGGGUUCAUCCUCAUCCCCAGUAUCGUGUUCAGAUCCACCAGCACCAGUAACAUGACAGUGGACAGCACUGGUAAGGCCAGCACUGGAGGAUGCAUUUUCAAACCAGGCCUAUGAUUGGUUAAAGGGUGAUGGCAUUGGAGUGACAUUCACUAUCUCUAUUCCAGUCCAGUCUAUUAACAUUAUUCUGUGUCUCCAAUAUAAAACAAUGUCUUCUCACUGUUCCCUGUAGCAGUAUCAUAGCAACAGAUCUGCCUUAGAGGAUGGGCUUUUAAUUGAAUUGAGGGAUUGAAACUGCAAAUAUUGCAGUAGUUGUUACUGGUAUUCUCUCACGGGUUUGAGAAUGGAGUCCCUAACAAAGUAGCAGGUCAUGGAACUGAGGUAUUCGGUGCCAAGGCUGCGGUGGGAAACAUGAUCAAAUGUGACCUUGGCUUAUCUUCAAACAGCUGAGAAUAUGUGUGGUGUGUGUGUGUGUGUGUCUCAGGUCCAGAGAAGUGUAGGGUCUAUGAUCCAAAUCUUUAAGAUCUGGUGGUGUUUUACCAGUACUUCCUGGACUUACUCUCUGGAAUGGUGAGAAAACACAACAUGUGUAAUCUAGUCCUGUGUACCACUGGUUACAGAUAUACUGAAUACAGCACAGAGAACAACACUUCUCUGAAGUUCAGUAUGCAAAACCAUGCAGCUCUGUUUUAAGUGGCCUUUCACACACUUUUGUCUGUCUGUCUGCACAUCCGUCUGUCUUUCUGCCUGUGUAUGCUGGGGAUUCUCUGAUCCACCUCUACGCAGAUGACACCAUUCUGUAUACAUCUGGCCCUUCUUUGGACACUGUGCUAACAAA